AACCCGGGACCUUACAUCCCAAAACUACCUUGCUUGCAUAUUUUUAAACAUUUCUUCAAUUUAAUCACGCUGCAUGAAGCAUGGUUAAUCAGUAACACGUUCCUGUUCCUUUUUCUCCCUCUAUAUUUUCUGUGAGAAGCCGUUGACAUUAUCGCUCAGUGCUCAUUUCACAGUCUCAGUUUGACGUCGACGCGUUGAAAUUUUCAAAUCUCAACGCGAAAGCAUGUCCGCGGUUCUCGACAUGGCUCUCAUGACAUCAUCAGUAACAAGCCUGGAUCCGGAAACCGUGCCAUCAGCCGCGCCGCUACCUAGCCACUGCUAAGAGUUUAGCGAUAGUCGCUUUUGCUUUGGUCAAACCAUUACGGAGGAAUCUUCGGUUGAGGUGGUUUUCCGGCUCCAACUACCCUCUUUCCCCUCCCCGGCAAAGAAUUAAAAGGAAAACAAAAAAGGUUCAUGCGAUCGCAUAGUUGUCAUAAGUCGUCUUGUUUUGUACAAGGGUUGUUAACAAAAAAUUUUCAUGGUUUCAGGGGAGUACUUCUUUAUAGAUUUUGUGGCAACUUGCAUUAGAUCUAGUAAGAUGUAAUCUCCGUUAUCUACAUAUUCAGGCUGGGGAUACUCUAUAGAUAUGGUUGGCUAUAUUCAGGUUAUUGUUUGUGCAGUGAAUUUGAUAUGCAUGUUGAGCUUAAUUUCCUUCUAUCUGCACUACUUGGAAUCUUUAUUGC